UACGUAGGGCGCAAGCGUUAUCCGGAAUUAUUGGGCGUAAAGAGCUCGUAGGCGGUUUGUCGCGUCUGCCGUGAAAGUCCGGGGCUCAACUCCGGAUCUGCGGUGGGUACGGGCAGACUAGAGUGAUGUAGGGGGAGACUGGAAUUCCUGGUGUAGCGGUGAAAUGCGCAGAUAUCAGGAGGAACACCGGUGGCGAAGGCGGACUCGUGGGC
rnacentral:rRNA from 1 species